CCUGCAAUAUUAUGAUCACAAAAUUAAUUCAAGUUAAGAGUUGAUUGUGCAUGUAUAAGAAAAUAUUAUAUUUGUUGACAAAGCUCUAAAUUUAGUUUGGUGUAAUUACAUGUAACGUGACAUUAUUGUGAUUAGAGGCGGAUCCAUGAUUUCAAGAAGAUGGGCGUACAAUUAGACAUGAGGGGUUCUCCAAUGGUAAGCAUCCGCCAUUUUCAACCUAUAGGUUGUGAGUUCGAGUCUCCUCAAGAGAAUGGUGGGAAGUUCUUGGAGGGAAGGAUGCCGAGGUUCUAUUUUGAAACAGCCUCUCUACCCUAGAGUAGGGGUAGGUCUGCGUAUACAGUAUUCUCCCCAGACCCUACUAAGUGGGAUUAUACUGAGUUGUUUUUUGUUGGGUGUGUUAUUGUGAAGAACCGGAUUUGAAAUUUACAUUUGACGGGUUUAACUUAAGUUUCUUACCAUGAACCUUCUACACUUUUUAAAUUAUAGGUUCAAAAUUAUAUUCUUUUUGAAAUUUUAAUGAUUUUAGCACACAUAUAUCCAUACAUCUAAACUCUUGUGCCGAAACAAAACCGUUCGAAAUGAAUUUUGAACCGUCAAUUACACUAAUAGAGGUACAUCAAUUAAUAAUUACACCAUAAUAGUCUUUGAACAUGAGAUACAUACACAUGUAUUUAAGUAAUUUUAUAGAAAUAUAAUUUUGUUAAACAUGAGUUUACGUAUACUCUUAUCCCUUAACCUAAAUAUGCCUCUUGACUACGACUCACUUCCUGUAUGUCUACGUUAUGAAGCUGAAAGAUAUAAUAGGAGUAAUAUUUAGCAUAUCAAUGCAUAUAAGGUAAAUCCAUAACGAUUGUACAUGAUGUGAAUUAAGUAAAUUUAAGUAGUGUUGAAUCAAACUUUCAAAGUAAAGUAAACAAUAACACAAUAAUGAGAAGGUACCAGGAUAGGAAGGUGCAUGUUGAACAACAUGCGGCAAAUCAAAAUUGGUGCCCUUAAUUGUGGGGUAUUUAGCUGUAAUCAUCUUGAGGUUGACUCCAAGACCACCUCCAACAUCAACCAGAGUUUUAAGGUUGUCAAAACCUUUGUAAUUUUCAAGUAUCUUUUUCAUGGCUACAGUUGUGUGAUUGAGCAUUGCACUGUUGAAAACAUCAUUAAAUUUUGGGUUUGAUUUUGGAUAUUCAAAUGCAUGUACACCGUGUACCCUGUCAAAUGGAACUCCUCCCUCAAGAACUGCAUCUUUUAAUUCAAACCUAUAAUUUAGAUUAGAUAGACAGUCAGAUAUGAACAUAUGUUCUAAUUUUGUCAUGCCUCUUCUAAAUUGAAAAAAAAAAGUUUAAGAUUCAACAAAUCUUUCAUUUAUUUUAAUUUUUUAUUUUUUGUUGAAAUUAUUUCAUUUAAAGUUACUAACCCACUAUUAUCAUGGAAAUUGCUACUAAACAAAUUGAACGGAAUCGUUUAUGGCUUUUUCUAUAUAGUAGUAAAGUAAUUGUAGUUUAGAGAGAACUUGGUCAAAUUGUGUCAUAGCACCAACAUCUACGAGAUGCAUUUAUUAAUAUAUAAAUUUUUACAUUUAAACUAAAAUAAGUUCAAUCUAAGAAUCUAAUUUAUCUAAAUCGCCUAUAAACAGUGAGCUAUUUAAUAAAAUGAGGUAAAACAAAUUAGUUAAUUUGAGAGAAUACAUUAUUAUUAGCGUUUGAGAAUUUUUUUCCCUUAAAACUUGAUCUUGAAAGUAUAUAUCUAAUGUCUUCGACGCCUUAAUAAUGCUCCUAAGUUUGUAAGUCAUUUCUGACACUAAAGUUUGCUAAAUGACCGGCUAUCCGGUCUAUUCUCUUUGAUACUUAUGCUGGUGGAAGGUAACAGAUAUACGUUGAAACUAGUCUAAAUACCACCAUUAAAAAUGUGACUAUUCAAUCUUAUACGAAUUUAAUUUAGUUAAUGAUUUCCAUUGAUUCUACUCGAAUAGUUUUGCUGUGUUACAUGCGCAACAUCCACCAUAGUAUAAGACAUGAUAAAAUUUGUAGUAGAUGGAAAGUAACCAUAUAUGAAUUUUCCGUUGUUUUCUAAAGGUAAUUUACCUUAACCAUCCAGAAAUAUUUGAAAAUUAUAUUGUACCCCUUGGCUUUGGUAAUUGGGUGGAUGUAGGGUUACAAUUUUAAAGGGGGUAUCGUUGAGCCAAUUGAUGCAUGACAUCCAUUAGCCUCAGUCGUCUAGCUAGUUGGUAUUAUAAACUCAUGGUGUCGCAAGAAAAGAUUCAAUUGUCAUUUUCUCCGUUAUGAGCAAGACCUUUUUUUCUAUUUUAUAAAUUCAAAAUUCAAAAGAAAAGAAUUAGAGUAUAAAAGGCAUGAAUAUAUAUAUACACACACGCACUCAAUCCUGCCGUCCUUGCCAUAUCCCGUUUAAGAUUUUGGCUCACAUUAAUAUCAUUUGAUGGUAUUAGUCAUAAGUAUUAUUUGACUAAAUAAACUUUAUAGUUUCCUUAAUUCAAUAGUUAAUGACUGUGCAUCUUUAGAGUAAUAAAGCUAGAAUGAAUUAGUAAUGGCCAAUUUUUCUAAAAAGACAAAUAUGUUGUAAUGGAUUAUACACUAAUAUUCAUUAUUUACUUUGGCUACCUAGUGUAUAUAAAUUAUACAUUGAUUAUACAUAAUUAUAUAUAUAUAUAUAUAUAAUGAAGCUGAAAGAUAUAAUAGGAGUAAUAUUUAGCAUAUCAAUGCAUAUAAGGUAAAUCCAUAACGAUUGUACAUGAUGUGAAUUAAGUAAAUUUAAGUAGUGUUGAAUCAAACUUUCAAAGUAAAGUAAACAAUAACACAAUAAUGAGAAGGUACCAGGAUAGGAAGGUGCAUGUUGAACAACAUGCGGCAAAUCAAAAUUGGUGCCCUUAAUUGUGGGGUAUUUAGCUGUAAUCAUCUUGAGGUUGACUCCAAGACCACCUCCAACAUCAACCAGAGUUUUAAGGUUGUCAAAACCUUUGUAAUUUUCAAGUAUCUUUUUCAUGGCUACAGUUGUGUGAUUGAGCAUUGCACUGUUGAAAAUUUAAGUCGUUAAAAGAAUGACUAUUUAUGUUAUUUUUCUUUUUUUUUAAUUGAAGUGAUCAAUAAAAGGAUAAGAUGGAAAAUAAUAACACACAUACGACU
rnacentral:lncRNA from 1 species